rnacentral:rRNA from 1 species
AUUGAACGCUGGCGGCAGGCCUAACACAUGCAAGUCGAGCGAGCGGCGGACGGGUGUGUAAUGUCUGGGAAACAGCCCGAUGGAGGGGGGUAACUACUGGAAACGGUAGCUAAUACCGCAUAUCAUCCGAUGUGUCCAGAUGGGAUUAGCGAGUAGGUGGGGUAACGGCGAACCUAGGCGACGCUCCCUAGCUGGUCUGAGAGGAUGACCAGCCACACUGGAACUGAGACACGGUCCAGACUCCUACGGGAGGCAGCAGUGGGGAAUAUUGCACAAUGGGCGCAAGCCUGAUGCAGCCAUGCCGCGUGUGUGAAGAAGGCCUUCGGGUUGUAAAGCACUUUCAGCGGGGAGGCGUUACCCGCAGAAGAAGCACCGGCUAACUCCGUGCCAGCAGCCGCGGUAAUAC